rnacentral:rRNA from 16 species
AUAAUAAUACCGGGCGCGUUAGUGUUUGGUAAUUGGAAUGAGUACAAUCUAAAUCGCUCAACGAGGAUCCAUUGGAGGGCAAGUCUGGUGCCAGCAGCCGAGGUAAUUCCAGCUCCAA